rnacentral:antisense_RNA from 1 species
UUGCGCUCGAAAGUCCUCCCGCCCACGGAGACCCCAGCAAACUCCGAGUGUCACACAGGCGCCUCUGGCGACCCGUGCGGGCCGGAGCCGCUCGCGCACAAGCAGGGCGGGUGCUGAGCGUGGAAACGGGGCUGGAAUUGGCCGAGCCAUGUCUUUCCGGGAUGCCCACCCCCAGUCAAAGGGUUGGGGGUGGUCUCUGCACCUUAGGUACUAACCUGCCGCCCACGCGCCUCCUGGCCACAGCACCCGGUCGGCUUUCUAAUUCUGUGAGCUGCCCUCGUGGGCGUGGCCUCCCUGUGGAGCUACCCGUGUGCCUCCCCUUGGUCCAGCCUGCAGCUAGGAAGUGGGUCACAGCGGCGGGGCUGAGCUGGGCCAGGCCAGGCUCGGCUCCGGGAGAUGUGGAAUUGGCGAAACAACUGACCCAGUAGUAUCCUCCGCCUAGGACUCCAAGAGGUGGCGAAUUGGAGCGCUACGCCCCGGAACCAGGGUGGCAGGGCUAGAUGUCCUCUCACCAGACUGCCCAGUGAAGGUGCUGUCACUAUGAUGAAUUAUCAAGGCUUUAUAGUGGGUGUUUUACUGGACAAAGGACAAACUGGAGACUCCCUGGGUCAAAUGUGUUGAAAAUGUUAUAGCGCUGUUAGGAAGUGCUGUUCUAGAAUAUAGAAUGUGGCUGCCGUGAGUGGAGUGUGACUAUGAGAUAGUUGCCUGACUGGAGACAAUGAAGCCUCAGGCCAAGGAUGCUCACUCCUACUCAGCCCUGUUUAGUGGGAUUUUUCAGCCUACUGUAAAGCCUACUGCUGCCUGUAAAGCCACCUAAGUGCAUCACUUGCUGGUGUUCACCAUGAUAACAACAAUGUAUGGGGACAGAAUAUGUUUCUAGAGCUGCUGGUGCCACUACUUCUGACAAGUUACUGGGGUCCCUGAAAUAAAACACCACAGUGCAGGCUGGUCUCGAACUCCUGGUUUCAAGUGAUCCUCCCACCUUGGACUCCCAAAGUGCUGGGAUGUGCUCAAUAUUAAAUGUCAUGAAGAUACUGUUAAAAUAAUAAUUGUGCUCAAUAGU